rnacentral:rRNA from 1 species
CCUACGGGGUGCUGCAGUGAGGAAUAUUGGGCAAUGGACGAGAGUCUGAACCAGCCAAGUAGCGUGAAGGAUGACGGCUCUAUGGGUUGUAACCUUCUUUUAUAUGGGAAUGAAAUGUUCCACGUGUGGGAUUUUGUCUGUACCAUAUGAAUAAGGAUCGGCUAACUCGGUGCCAGCAGCCGCUGUAAUACGGAGGGUCCGUGCGUUAUCCGGAUGUAUUGGGGUUAAGGGGCGCGUAGGGGGAUUGUUAAGUCAGUUGUGAAAGUUUGCGGCUCAACCGUAAAAUUGUAGUUGAAACUGGCAGUCUUGAGUACAGUAGAGGUGGGCGGAAUUCGUGGUGUAGCGGUGAAAUGCUUAGAUAUCAGGAAGAACUCCGAUUGCGAAGGCAGCUCACUGGACUGCAACUGACACUGAGGCUCGAAAGUGUGGGUAUCAAACAGGAUUAGAUACCCUAGUAGUC